rnacentral:lncRNA from 1 species
ACUGCACUCCAGCCUGGGUGACAGAGUGAGACUCCGUCUCAAAAAAAAAAAAAAGAUUUAUUAUGGAGUUUUUACACAUACAAAAUAGAAUUGUACAAUAAUUCCCCAUGUGCUUAUCAAUCAGCUUCAAUCAUUAUCCACAUUCAGCAGUCUUGUUCUUGAAGGCCUUUUAAGUGGACCCUCAGAAAUAAAAAAUGAACUUUGUAGGAUUUCAGGCAUUGGAGUGGGGUCUAUAGUAUGGUUGUGCAAGGGUUCUCUUGUUCAGUCCAUGGAGAAUGAGGGGAAAAAAAAAGAAGCACUGUGUUCAACAGGCCCAGCCAUGGAGAGCUGUGCUGUCUACAGUUCUAUCAAAGGCAGGAAGGUGGAUUGGAUGCUGGUGGAAGGGGGAAGCGGGUUUCCAACCCCAGUGGAAAGUACAAAAUGUUGGAAGACUCUUUAGAGUUAAAAGAAAUGCAAAUUAGCACAGCCCACUUCUCCCACCAAAACAAAUUGCAUGUUUGUGAUAGCCAAGUAAGAUUAAUGCUCAGAUGUCACCAUCUGAGAAACAGUCUUGAAUCAGGAUUCAUUUGUUUUGACCUCGCUCUGGUCCUCUCUGCUCCUAGUUAAUGAUUUACAAGUGACACCUUGGAAACAGCUAAGGGGUCCUCUCUCCCUGUCCUUUUUAAGGGCAGGAAGUAAUCCUGUGCCUGGGGACUAUCCCAUCACCCCUUAUUAGAGCUGCACCCAGGACACUGUUGGAGCUGACCAGAGCUUUGUUCAAUGAGAUGGCAGGUCCCCAGCCUGACACUCUGCUGACAGCUGCUGUUUCCUUUCUCUCUCUCCCUCAUGCCAGAAGGACAUUUAUGUAAGCACCACUGGCUCAGGACUGAGUAGAACAAGUUAAGAAAUGACAAGGCUAGACUCAGCAGGAUGGUGGCGUGCAUUCUCCCGUACUGAGGAAGCACAGCCCAGAACUGCCAAGAUGAGCUUGAGUCACUCUCAGGAGAUUCCCGUCCUGGGGGUUUCUUCUCCUGUCAUGCUCUUCAGUGCCCACAACUUUAUUCCUGGGAUGGAGGCAGCUGCCAGCCCUAAUACCUAGCUCACAGGGGAGUUGUGAGUAUCAAAUGAGAUUGUGAAUGAGGAGGCAUUUUGUUAACUGCAAAACGCCAUGCAAUUUUAAAGGACUGUCAUUUCCACUACUCUUCUCCUUAUACCUGGACACCUGCCUCCCAUACCAAGUUGUACCUCCUUUCAGCCUGAAGUUCAAGUCUUUUUACUGAAGAGGAAAGCUUCAUUCAGGAUCUAUUUCUGAAUGACAGCCACUCCUGCAAAGAAUCUACCAAUAUUUAUCAUUCACAUGCAAAAAUGUGUCAUACAUAUUUAGCAAGCGCCCCAUGAAUUUCUUGUGCCUAGCAACCAAAACAGAAAAAGGAACAUAUGGAAUCUGUGGUUGUUUGAUACCAAUUUGAUCUGAAUGAACAAACAAAUUAGCCCAUUUUUCCAAAUAUGAACCUGGUACCACUAGUAUUGCCUGUGAGUGGAGAUAAAUACGCUCUUGCUACUUGUAUUUUAUUAGCUAUUUCUAUUCUUUCAAAAUGCAAUAUUUAUUCUUGGGAAAGAGAAAGAACCACUGGAUCUAAUACAUGUGUCUUUGGACACUCCAGAGCACUUCCCUAUUCCCUGCUUUUUCCAAGUCAAAACAUUUGAACUUCAAGAUUCUUUCCUCCCUACUAAGCCAUUGUAUCAGGCAUCACAGCAGUCACAAUUUUCUCCAGAGGAAAGCAUAUGGCCCUUAACUCCACUUCAGGCAGUGAACCCUGUGGGAGGGUGCGAAUAGAAAGAAGCCAGAACAAAAAACAUCUUUUCUGUUGGGCUGUUGUCUGAAAGGUGCCUCUGCUCUGAGGAGGCAGAUUCCAGCUCUACAUAAGGAAGAACUUUCAAGCAAUCAGGGUGGCCAGAAGAUAGAGUGGACUCUCUCAAAGAGAAUCAGCUCCUCACCAGCAAGUGUGGGCAGCCACUUGGAAUUGAUUCUGUACAGGGAGUUUCAAAGUACAAGAUGCUGGACUAGUUGCACAAAAUGGCCCUGCCAACCCUAGGAGCCUAUGGGUCUACAAGAGAGCUGAACAGUUUCAUAACAAAACACAGGAGGUCUCCUCUGUGAUAUUGUUUGAAUGAAAUGGAAAGAUCCUGCUUAAAAAUAUCUUCUUCAUUGACACCUGAAAUUCUGUCAUCAGUAAUUUCUUCCUUUGAGUCAAGCAUUUCUCUUUUCCUGAGGUCUUUUCCUUUCUUUGGGAAGGUGUAACAAUUUUACAACUUCAUCCUUGGAAGAAAAGAACUUACAAAGAUCUUUUUCCCCCUCUUCUGAGAGAAAAAAAGAUGGAAACCCAUAAAAAUCACUGAGUGGGAAGCAAAAGAAGAAAGAGGAAAAGGAAAAGGAAAAGGAAGGGAGGGAGGGAGCGAGUAUCCUCUUGCAGAAAGAACUUUGAUAAACUCAGUGUGCCAAUGACCACAUCUGAUCACCUAGGUUAUUAUUGGUACUGAUAAUCAUUAUUAAAAUAAAUAAUGGUUUGAGCAUUUAGUAGGUAUCAGGCACUGCGAAGAGCUCUUAACAAACAGAAUCGAACAAAACUUCCAAGAACCCAAUGAGGUUUUAUUAUUCCCAUUUUACAGAUCUGUAAACUAAGGUUUAGCAAGGUUAGGUACCUACCUAGAUCACAUAGCUAGAAAAUGGAAGAGUCAAGAAGCUAAUUCAGUGUCUGAUCCACAGUUGGGAUUCAGUAAAUACUUACAGAAUGAAUACAUCAAAUUUUAAUCAGAGAGAGAUGAUCAUGGGACACUCCUGUAUCAUAAAUCACUACCAUUUUUAUAGGGCAGUUUGACUCUAAAACCUGGGCUUAUGACCACUCUCCAGCUGCCUGUCAUCCUCCUAUUUUUCUCAUUUAAUGACUUCAACCUUAGAGAUCCCCCAAACACAAACACAUGCUACCUGUGAAAUCUACCCUGAAAAAAGUAUGCGAACAAAUGAAAUUAGAGUUUCCCUUCCACUUUUCUUAAGACAUUACUUUUUCUACCCACUAUUGACCUCCCUUUUCCUCAUUCCUUAAAAAGAAAUUGUUACAUCAUUGUAUUUUCUCACCUAGGAAAGUCUCCGUAAGUAGCAGCCACCCUCAUUUCAACACCCUGGGACCCCAGGACCGCCAGAGAGAGGUGUGGUAAGGAGAGCAAAUAUAUCAGAGUGAGGAAUAAAUGCCUGCCGAGCUCAUUAGCACCCAGGCACAGAGAAGGAGCCUGCUAUUUUUAUCAAAUGUACCUUCGCUUAAAUAAAUUGCAGAGAAACUUGACAGAAAAAGGGUUCCUUUGGAAAUUUUUGUUCCUUCUAAUAAAGACAGACUAUCUUGUAUGCCCUUUCUAGCCUGGUAGCUAUCCUCAGACCUGUAACAUGUGGGGUUGGAAAGCCACCUGUGUACAUUUUUACAUUUGCUCCCUCAUGAAAUCUCUAUCUCAGCCGCUUGCUUUUCGGUUCUAGCCCAGGCACAAACCUGACGGGAAACAUAUAAAAGCUUUGUAGCUCAGGUGGAGUGCCACCUCUAUGACCGGGAAUUAGGGCUUUGCCUCUUUCCUGUGAUUCACCAGCAGAGUUUUGAUCACUCAGUGUAGUUCCAAUGAUAUGAUUCCUUUAGCCAAGACUAGUUCAUGACCCAACGCAUGAGCUGAAUUCAAUUUUUUUAGAUGAGAAUUUAAUUAUACCCACUUGCUUUCUCAUGCACAACUUUGCCAGCGUUUUAGGGAUGCUCCAGGAUUAUUUCCUAGCCUGGUUGUGCACCAUGCCUAUCCUCAACCCUUGGGCCAAAAUAUUUGUCUUAAGCUCAGGAGUCAUAGCCACCUGGAACCUCUGUGCUGACAGCUUACACUUGCAGAAUUAGCUCCCAUUACUUAAACACACACACACACACACGCAUGUGUGUGUGAUACUUACUGAUUGUUUUCAAUAAAAGACAAAAAUGAGCCUAGGCCAGACAUGAUGGCUCAUGCCUAUAAUCCCAGCAAUGUGCAAAGCAGAGGUGAGAGGAUCACUUGAGCCCAGGAGUUCUAUGUUCUCCCUGGGCAGCACAGGGAGACUCUGCCUCUAUUUGUAAAACAAAACAAAACAAAACCUAAAAAUACUUUUCCCUCCACUCUUCCUCCCAAAAGCAAAUUUCAGGAGAUGUUCUGUGACUUUCUGUCUCAUAAGCUAGUUUUUUCCAGAAUCUCCAAAAUUAGUUGCUUCUUGAAUAUUCUCAUUAAUUACUAACAUUCUCAUAUUGACUUUUUGAAGAUUUGGCAAAAUAUAUCAACAAAUUUUAAGACAUGCCUACUCUGUAAUCCAGCUAUUCUAAAGACACAAUCUGGUAAGUCCGCAAAGAUUUUCACUCCUCUAUUGGUAUCAUAGCAACAAUUGAUAACAACCAAAGUAUCCAAAAUUAGGGAUCUGCUCUAGUAAGUUGUGGUACCACCAUAUCAUAGGACUUUUGUCUACUAGUUAAAACCAUGUUGUUAAGGUAUUUGUUGGUGUAGAAAAUAUUAACCAUCUCUCUUUUUUUUUUUUUUUGAGACAGGGUUUCACUCGCCCAGGAUGGGGGGACUGGCGCGAUCUCGGCUCACUGCAACCUCCACCUCCCACGCUCAAGUGAUUCUAGUGCCUCAGCCUCCCAAGAGACUGGGAUUACAGAUGUGUGCCAUCACACUCCACUAAUUUUUAUAUUUUUAGUAGAGACAGGGUUUCACCAUGUUAGCCCGACUGGUCUUGGGCUCCUGGCCUCAAGUGAUCUGCCCACUUCGGCCUCCCAAAGUGCUUGGAUUACAGGCGUGAGCCACCACACCCAGCCUUAACCAUCUAUUACUAAGCGGAAAAAAGGUACAAAACAGUAUGUACAGAGAGGCAACCUCUGGAAAAGCAACCUCUAUGGUCAAAAUAAACAUAUGGAGGAAAGAUAACAUAAAAUUGUACAAAAAGGAAGGAGUUCAUUGAAGAAAACAAUCAUUUGCAAAAAGCUUGGCCCCCACCUGGAGACAGGUUCAAGAUGAAGUGGCUCCUGCUGCAGACCCUGAUCAACACCCAGACUUUUCAUAUUCAGAAAAUCAAAACCAGGUCACAGCUUCCAGGAGUCUAUCCAGCUUCUGCUGAUCUGCUCAGAGGACUGACUGGCCCACAACAUCUGCUCCCAGGUCAGACCAGGGUGUCCACAAGGCAAGGUCCAGGAUACCCAGCCGCUGUCCACCACAAUGUGAUGGGAUGACACAGGAAGAGGAAAUUUGGACACACAAAGUGACACCACGGCUACAGAUGCAUAAAGGAAAAACCAUGUGAAGACAUCUUGAGAAGACGAUCACCUGCAAGCCAAUGAGAGAGGCCUCAGAAGAAACGAAACUUGUCAGCACCUUGAUUUUGGACUUCCAACCUCCAGAGCAGUGAGAAAAUAAAUUUCUGUUGUUUAAGCCAGCCAAUCUGUGGUAUUCUGUUAUGGCACCAGCUUUAGCGAACUAAUACACGUAAUAAAAUGUAAAGAAAACAAAACCAAUGUAAAUAACAUUUUCUAAGUUCCAUCUAAAUAAAGUUUUCCAGCCUUCCAAGAUGAAUGCUUACACCACUUUUUUAGAAACCCGCUGUCUUGAGUUUAGAUCUUUUGAUUUCUU